rnacentral:rRNA from 1 species
AUUGAACGCCGGCGGCAGGCCUAACACAUGCAAGUCGAGCGGAUGAGUGGAGCUUGCUCCAUGAUUCAGCGGCGGACGGGUGAGUAAUGCCUAGGACUCUGCCUGGUAGUGGGGGACAACGUUUCGAAAGGAACGCUACUACCGCAUACGUCCUACGGGAGAAAGCAGGGGACCUUCGGGCCUUGCGCUCUCAGAUGAGCCUAGGUCGGAUUAGCUAAUAGGUGAGGUAAUGGCUCACCUAGGCGACGAUCCGUAACUGGUCUGAGAGGAUGAUCAGUCACACUGGAACUGAGACACGGUCCAGACUCCUACGGGAGGCAGCAGUGGGGAAUAUUGGACAAUGGGCGAAAGCCUGAUCCAGCCAUGCCGCGUGUGUGAAGAAGGUCUUCGGAUUGUAAAGCACUUUAAGUUGGGAGGAAGGGCAGUAAGUUAAUACCUUGCUGUUUUGACGUUACCAACAGAAUAAGCACCGGCUAACUUCGUGCCAGCCGCCGCAGUAACAC